rnacentral:rRNA from 1 species
UACGUAGGGACCGAGCGUUGUCCGGAUUCAUUGGGCGUAAAGAGCUCGUAGGCGGCUGCUCAAGUCGAAUGUGAAACCUCGGGGCUUAACCCCGGGCCUGCAGUGGGUACGGGCAGACUAGAGUGCGGUAGGGGAGACUGGAAUUCCUGGUGUAGCGGUGAAAUGCGCAGAUAUCAGGAGGAACACCGGUGGCGAAGGCGGGUCUCUGGGCCGUAACUGACGCUGAGGAGCGAAAGCGUGGGGAGCGAACAGG